rnacentral:rRNA from 1 species
UACGUAGGUGGCAAGCGUUGUCCGGAUUUACUGGGCGUAAAGAGCGCGCAGGCGGUCGUUCAAGUCGCGUGUGAAAGCCCCCGGCUCAACUGGGGAGGGUCACGCGAUACUGAUCGACUCGAAGGCAGGAGAGGGAAGUGGAAUUCCCGGUGUAGUGGUGAAAUGCGUAGAUAUCGGGAGGAACACCAGUGGCGAAGGCGACUUCCUGGCCUGUUCUUGACGCUGAGGCGCGAAAGCUAGGGGGAGCAAACGGG